CUGUAACUGGAAUGGCUAGAUGCCUACUAAUGCACUUCCAAAUAUUCCCAAAGAUGGCUGUGAAGACACUCUCCAGAUUUGCAUUCAGAAGGUAUUCAAGCACAGAGUAACUCAAGGGAGGCAGCUGAAAUUCACCCUGGUUGGUAACCCAAUACUCACACCUGGCUUUGGAAGAGAAAAAAGUUCUGUGGGGAAGGAAAUUGCCUUAUCAACUCUGCCUUGAAACCACAGACAUGGAGAUGGGCAUCCACACUACCCCAGAGCCCAGUGCCAGGCCCAGCUCAAGAGCAGGCAGAAUCAUCUUGAAAGGCCUGAAAGAAAUAUU